rnacentral:rRNA from 1 species
GAUGAACGCUGGCGGCGUGCCUAAUGCAUGCCAGUCGAGCGAACAGACGAGGAGCUUGCUCCUCUGACGUUAGCGGCGGACGGGUGAGUAACACGUGGAUAACCUACCUAUAAGACUGGGAUAACUUCGGGAAACCGGAGAUAAUACCGGAUAAUAUAUUGAACCGCAUGGUUCAAUAGAGAAAGACGGUUUUGCUGUCUCUUAUAGAUGGAUCCGCGCCGCAUUAGCUAGUUGGUAAGGUAACGGCUUACCAAGGCAACGAUGCGUAGCCGACCUGAGAGGGUGAUCGGCCACACUGGAACUGAGACACGGUCCAGACUCCUACGGGAGGCAGCAGUAGGGUAUCUUCCGCAAUGGGCGAAAGCCUGACGGAGCAACGCCGCGUGAGUGAUGAAGGUCUUCGGAUCGUAAAGCUCUGUUAUUAGGGAAGAACAAAUGUGUAAGUAACUAUGCACGUCUUGACGGUACCUAAUCAGAAAGCAACGGCUAACUACGUG